GCCCGCUUGGCUCAGCGGUAGAGCGCCUCACUAGUAAUAAAAUUACUAAGAUAUGAGGAGGCGACUGGUUCGACUCCAGUAGUGGGCA